rnacentral:rRNA from 1 species
GAUGUACGCUGGCGGCGUGCCUAAUACAUGCAAGUCGAGCGAACAGAUAAGGAGCUUGCUCCUUUGACGUUAGCGGCGGACGGGUGAGUAACACGUGGGUAACCUACCUAUAAGACUGGGAUAACUUCGGGAAACCGGAGCUAAUACCGGAUAAUAUUUCGAACCGCAUGGUUCGAUAGUGAAAGAUGGUUUUGCUAUCACUUAUAGAUGGACCCGCGCCGUAUUAGCUAGUUGGUAAGGUAACGGCUUACCAAGGCGACGAUACGUAGCCGACCUGAGAGGGUGAUCGGCCACACUGGAACUGAGACACGGUCCAGACUCCUACGGGAGGCAGCAGUAGGGAAUCUUCCGCAAUGGGCGAAAGCCUGACGGAGCAACGCCGCGUGAGUGAUGAAGGUCUUCGGAUCGUAAAACUCUGUUAUUAGGGAAGAACAUACGUGUAAGUAACUGUGCACGUCUUGACGGUACCUAAUCAGAAAGCCACGGCUAACUACGUG